CCUACGGGCGGCAGCAGUAGGGAAUCUUCCGCAAUGGAGGAAACUCUGACGCAGCGACGCCGCGUGCAGGAAGAAGGUUUUCGGAUUGUAAAAUGCUGUAGAUAGGGAAGAAAAAAGACAGUACCAGCAGAAUAAGCUUCGGCGAACUACGUGCCAGCAGCCGCGGCAAUACGUAGGUAGCAAGCGUUAUCCGGAUUUAUUGGGUGUAAAGGGUGCGUAGACGGAGAAGCAAGUUAGUUGUGAAAGCCCUCGGCUUAACUGAGGAACUGCAACUAAAACUACUUCCCUUGAGUACUGGAGAGGAGAGUGGAAUUCCAAGUGUAGCGGUGAAAUGCGUAGAUAUUAGGAGGAACACCAGUGGCGAAGGCGACUUUCUGGUCAGUAACUGACGUUGAGGCACGAAAGUGUGGGGAGCAAACAGGAUUAGAUACCCGGGUAGUC
rnacentral:rRNA from 1 species